rnacentral:misc_RNA from 1 species
UUUCCGUAGGUGAACCUGCGGAAGGAUCAUUACAGUGUUCCCUGCCCUUCGGGGUAGGAUCGCCACCCUUGAUUAUUUAUGAGUGUUGCUUUGGCGGGCCUCGCGGCCUGGCCGCGCCCCGGCUUCGACGGGGGAGCGCCCGCCAGAGGAUUCUACAAACCUGAUUAUUAGUGUCGUCUGAGUACUAUAUAAUAGUUAAAACUUUCAACAACGGAUCUCUUGGUUCUG